AGCGAACGUUUGCGGCGGGCCUAACACAUGCAAGUCGAACGGGCUAGCAAUAGUCAGUGGCGCACGGGUGCGUAACACGUGGGUAAUCAACCCUUCAGCUCGGGAUAACGCCUUGAAAGGGCGCUAAUACCGGAUGCGACGCGAGGAGCCUCGGCGCUUCGCGGGAAAGAUUCGCAAGGAUCACUGAAGGACGAGCCUGCGGCCCAUCAGCUAGUUGGUGAGGUAAGAGCUCACCAAGGCGAAGACGGGUAGCUGGUCUGAGAGGAUGAUCAGCCACACUGGAACUGAGACACGGUCCAGACUCCUACGGGAGGCAGCAGUGGGGAAUAUUGCGCAAUGGGCGAAAGCCUGACGCAGCCACGCCGCGUGAGCGAUGAAGGCCU
rnacentral:rRNA from 1 species